rnacentral:rRNA from 1 species
GAUCCUGGCUCAGAACGAACGCUGGCGGCAGGCUUAACACAUGCAAGUCGAACGCUCGUAGCAAUACGGGAGUGGCGGACGGGUGAGUAACGCGUGGGAACGUGCCCUGAGGUACGGAAUAACUGAGGGAAACUUCAGCUAAUACCGUAUGAGCCCCGAGAGGGGGAAAGAUUUAUCGCCUUGGGAGCGGCCCGCGUCGGAUUAGCUAGUUGGUGGGGUAACGGCCUACCAAGGCUUCGAUCCGUAGCUGGUCUGAGAGGACGAUCAGCCACACUGGGACUGAGACACGGCCCAGACUCCUACGGGAGGCAGCAGUGGGGAAUCUUGCGCAAUGGGGGCAACCCUGACGCAGCCAUGCCGCGUGAACGAUGAAGGCCUUAGGGUUGUAAAGUUCUUUACCCGUGACGAUGAUGACGGUAACGGGGGAAUAAGCUCCGGCUAACUUCGUG